UACAUGUGGGGCAAGCGUUGUUCGGAAUUACUGGGCAUAAAGGGUGCGUAGGUGGUUUGUUAAGUCAGGGGUGAAAGUUUUCGGCCCAACCGGAAAAUGGCCUUUGAUACUGGCGAGCUCGAGUGCGUGAGGGGUAACCGGAACGAGCAGUGUAGCGGUGAAAUGCGUAGAGAUCGGGAGGAACACCAGAGGCGAAGGCGGCGACCUGGACAAGUACUGACACUCAACUACGAAAGCGUGGGGAGCAAACAGG
rnacentral:rRNA from 1 species